rnacentral:rRNA from 1 species
AACGAACGCUGGCGGCAGGCUUAACACAUGCAAGUCGAACGCCCCGCAAGGGGAGUGGCAGACGGGUGAGUAACGCGUGGGAAUCUACCCAGAUCUUCGGAACAACUGAGGGAAACUUCAGCUAAUACCGGAUACGCCCUACGGGGGAAAGAUUUAUCGGUUCUGGAUGAGCCCGCGUUGGAUUAGCUAGUUGGUGAGGUAACGGCUCACCAAGGCGACGAUCCAUAGCUGGUCUGAGAGGAUGAUCAGCCACACUGGGACUGAGACACGGCCCAGACUCCUACGGGAGGCAGCAGUGGGGAAUAUUGGACAAUGGGCGAAAGCCUGAUCCAGCCAUGCCGCGUGAGUGAUGAAGGCCUUAGGGUUGUAAAGCUCUUUCAGUAGGGAAGAUAAUGACGGUACCUACAGAAGAAGCCCCGGCUAACUUCGUGCCAGCCGCCGCGGUAAUAC